rnacentral:rRNA from 1 species
UACAGAGGUCCCAAGCGUUGUUCGGAUUCACUGGGCGUAAAGGGUGCGUAGGCGGUCGGGUAAGUCUGAUGUGAAAUCUCACAGCUUAACUGUGAAACUGCAUUGGAUACUAUCCGGCUCGAGGAAUGGAGGGGAGACUGGAGUACUUGGUGUAGCAGUGAAAUGCGUAGAUAUCAAGUGGAACACCAGUGGCGAAGGCGAGUCUCUGGACAUUUCCUGACGCUGAGGCACGAAAGCCAGGGGAGCAAACGGG